rnacentral:rRNA from 1 species
AACGGUAACAGGAAGCAGCCUGCUGCUUCGCUGACGAGUGGCGGACGGGUGAGUAAUGUCUGGGAAGCUGCCUGAUGGAGGGGGAUAACUACUGGAAACGGUAGCUAAUACCGCAUAAUGUCGCAAGACCAAAGAGGGGGACCUUCGGGCCUCUUGCCAUCGGAUGUGCCCAGAUGGGAUUAGCUUGUUGGUGGGGUAACGGCUCACCAAGGCGACGAUCCCUAGCUGGUCUGAGAGGAUGACCAGCCACACUGGAACUGAGACACGGUCCAGACUCCUACGGGAGGCAGCAGUGGGGAAUAUUGCACAAUGGGCGCAAGCCUGAUGCAGCCAUGCCGCGUGUAUGAAGAAGGCCUUCGGGUUGUAAAGUACUUUCAGCGGGGAGGAAGGGAGUAAAGUUAAUACCUUUGCUCAUUGACGUUACCCGCAGAAGAAGCACCGGCUAACUCCGUGCCAGCAGCCGCGGUAAUACGGAGGGUGCAAGCGUUAAUCGGAAUUACUGGGCGUAACGCGCACGCAGGCGGUUUGUUAAGUCAGAUGUGAAAUCCCCGGGCUCAACCUGGGAACUGCAUCUGAUACUGGCAGGCUUGAGUCUCGUAGAGGGGGGUAGAAUUCCAGGUGUAGCGGUGAAAUGCGUAGAGAUCUGGAGGAAUACCGGUGGCGAA